rnacentral:rRNA from 1 species
GGGUUGUGAGGUUAAGCGACUAAGCGUACACGGUGGAUGCCCUGGCAGUCAGAGGCGAUGAAGGACGUGCUAAUCUGCGAUAAGCGUCGGUAAGGUGAUAUGAACCGUUAUAACCGGCGAUUUCCGAAUGGGGAAACCCAGUGUGUUUCGACACACUAUCAUUAACUGAAUCCAUAGGUUAAUGAGGCGAACCGGGGGAACUGAAACAUCUAAGUACCCCGAGGAAAAGAAAUCAACCGAGAUUCCCCCAGUAGCGGCGAGCGAACGGGGAGCAGCCCAGAGCCUGAAUCAGUGUGUGUGUUAGUGGAAGCGUCUGGAAAGGCGCGCGAUACAGGGUGACAGCCCCGUACACAAAAAUGCACAUGCUGUGAGCUCGAUGAGUAGGGCGGGACACGUGGUAUCCUGUCUGAAUAUGGGGGGACCAUCCUCCAAGGCUAAAUACUCCUGACUGACCGAUAGUGAACCAGUACCGUGAGGGAAAGGCGAAAAGAACCCCGGCGAGGGGAGUGAAAAAGAACCUGAAACCGUGUACGUACAAGCAGUGGGAGCACGCUUAGGCGUGUGACUGCGUACCUUUUGUAUAAUGGGUCAGCGACUUAUAUUCUGUAGCAAGGUUAACCGAAUAGGGGAGCCGAAGGGAAACCGAGUCUUAACUGGGCGUUAAGUUGCAGGGUAUAGACCCGAAACCCGGUGAUCUAGCCAUGGGCAGGUUGAAGGUUGGGUAACACUAACUGGAGGACCGAACCGACUAAUGUUGAAAAAUUAGCGGAUGACUUGUGGCUGGGGGUGAAAGGCCAAUCAAACCGGGAGAUAGCUGGUUCUCCCCGAAAGCUAUUUAGGUAGCGCCUCGUGAAUUCAUCUCCGGGGGUAGAGCACUGUUUCGGCAAGGGGGUCAUCCCGACUUACCAACCCGAUGCAAACUGCGAAUACCGGAGAAUGUUAUCACGGGAGACACACGGCGGGUGCUAACGUCCGUCGUGAAGAGGGAAACAACCCAGACCGCCAGCUAAGGUCCCAAAGUCAUGGUUAAGUGGGAAACGAUGUGGGAAGGCCCAGACAGCCAGGAUGUUGGCUUAGAAGCAGCCAUCAUUUAAAGAAAGCGUAAUAGCUCACUGGUCGAGUCGGCCUGCGCGGAAGAUGUAACGGGGCUAAACCAUGCACCGAAGCUGCGGCAGCGACGCUGAUGCGUUGUUGGGUAGGGGAGCGUUCUGUAAGCCUGCGAAGGUGUGCUGUGAGGCAUGCUGGAGGUAUCAGAAGUGCGAAUGCUGACAUAAGUAACGAUAAAGCGGGUGAAAAGCCCGCUCGCCGGAAGACCAAGGGUUCCUGUCCAACGUUAAUCGGGGCAGGGUGAGUCGACCCCUAAGGCGAGGCCGAAAGGCGUAGUCGAUGGGAAACAGGUUAAUAUUCCUGUACUUGGUGUUACUGCGAAGGGGGGACGGAGAAGGCUAUGUUGGCCGGGCGACGGUUGUCCCGGUUUAAGCGUGUAGGCUGGUUUUCCAGGCAAAUCCGGAAAAUCAAGGCUGAGGCGUGAUGACGAGGCACUACGGUGCUGAAGCAACAAAUGCCCUGCUUCCAGGAAAAGCCUCUAAGCAUCAGGUAACAUCAAAUCGUACCCCAAACCGACACAGGUGGUCAGGUAGAGAAUACCAAGGCGCUUGAGAGAACUCGGGUGAAGGAACUAGGCAAAAUGGUGCCGUAACUUCGGGAGAAGGCACGCUGAUAUGUAGGUGAGGUCCCUUGCGGAUGGAGCUGAAAUCAGUCGAAGAUACCAGCUGGCUGCAACUGUUUAUUAAAAACACAGCACUGUGCAAACACGAAAGUGGACGUAUACGGUGUGACGCCUGCCCGGUGCCGGAAGGUUAAUUGAUGGGGUUAGCGGUAACGCGAAGCUCUUGAUCGAAGCCCCGGUAAACGGCGGCCGUAACUAUAACGGUCCUAAGGUAGCGAAAUUCCUUGUCGGGUAAGUUCCGACCUGCACGAAUGGCGUAAUGAUGGCCAGGCUGUCUCCACCCGAGACUCAGUGAAAUUGAACUCGCUGUGAAGAUGCAGUGUACCCGCGGCAAGACGGAAAGACCCCGUGAACCUUUACUAUAGCUUGACACUGAACAUUGAGCCUUGAUGUGUAGGAUAGGUGGGAGGCUUUGAAGUGUGGACGCCAGUCUGCAUGGAGCCGACCUUGAAAUACCACCCUUUAAUGUUUGAUGUUCUAACGUUGACCCGUAAUCCGGGUUGCGGACAGUGUCUGGUGGGUAGUUUGACUGGGGCGGUCUCCUCCUAAAGAGUAACGGAGGAGCACGAAGGUUGGCUAAUCCUGGUCGGACAUCAGGAGGUUAGUGCAAUGGCAUAAGCCAGCUUGACUGCGAGCGUGACGGCGCGAGCAGGUGCGAAAGCAGGUCAUAGUGAUCCGGUGGUUCUGAAUGGAAGGGCCAUCGCUCAACGGAUAAAAGGUACUCCGGGGAUAACAGGCUGAUACCGCCCAAGAGUUCAUAUCGACGGCGGUGUUUGGCACCUCGAUGUCGGCUCAUCACAUCCUGGGGCUGAAGUAGGUCCCAAGGGUAUGGCUGUUCGCCAUUUAAAGUGGUACGCGAGCUGGGUUUAGAACGUCGUGAGACAGUUCGGUCCCUAUCUGCCGUGGGCGCUGGAGAACUGAGGGGGGCUGCUCCUAGUACGAGAGGACCGGAGUGGACGCAUCACUGGUGUUCGGGUUGUCAUGCCAAUGGCACUGCCCGGUAGCUAAAUGCGGAAGAGAUAAGUGCUGAAAGCAUCUAAGCACGAAACUUGCCCCGAGAUGAGUUCUCCCUGACUCCUUGAGAGUCCUGAAGGAACGUUGAAGACGACGACGUUGAUAGGCCGGGUGUGUAAGCGCAGCGAUGCGUUGAGCUAACCGGUACUAAUGAACCGUGAGGCUUAACCUUACAACGCCGAAG